ACGUAAUUAAACUGAUGCGUUGGACGGAAAAUGAUCUAAGGCUAGGCCGUCUAGCGUCAGAAGGAAGAAACUUUAAAAGUAACAUGAAAACAAUGUCUGCUCUAGCUCACUUACACUCGAAUACUCGAUUGAAAAAACUAACAAACAAAGGCAAUAAGAAAUAUUUCUGAUACUCACGUAAUCUCAUCUUCACAAAGAAGCCACCACCGCAGUCUGCAGCGCACACAUCACAACAGAUGAAAUUCUCAAGGUGAUAAUGGACGUCCCUCCGACUUUUACAAUGAGGAAAAGUCAGUGGCAUUCGUUUAUGUGCCUUGUCUCUAAGGCUUCUGUUUAGUGAUGCUAGUCGUUUCAGCACCCAUGCAACAGGACUUGGUCAGUGAAUUGCUGAAAGGAAAAAUACUCAGUUAGUAAAUAAGGCAACAGCAAAUAAUGGUCAUGAAGAUGACAAAGCCUCUCCACACUACCCUGUCUGACAUUAAAAGCCUGUUCCUGCUCAUUUAAUUCUCACUCCUGGGCAUAUAAUUAAAUUGGUUGGCAGGAAGUUGUCUCUUCCGUUUUCACUUUCACUUGACUUCAACACCUUGUUUGGAUAGAGGAUACUUCACCAAAAAAGGGAAGGAGAUAAUUAACUUGCAAGAAAAUUUGGUGCAGAAGUAGUUGAUUGAUGAUUCUGGAUCUGGAUCCAAAAUAUUUGGAGAGGAAAAACAAUAUCCCAAUCAUCACUUAAUCUUUCUUCUGAAUACUUGGGCUGAAAGAAAUAAAUCCCUUGCUGACAAAAUAUUGUCUACUCUGCUACCUCUAGGUAUAAGCCUAUGCAGAGAAGAUUUGAUGGCCAUUUGAUGUUUAACCUGUUAAGGAGAUACUGCCCAAUGAGGAAAUGGUGAUUGUUAAGCUGAAAGCUGCUGCUGUACUUGGUGUCAAUUUUAAUGUAUUGUUUGUAAAACUAUAUGUGUGCAGUUAUAUUUAUCUGCCAUGUCUCUCAGAUAAUUUGAUUCUACAUGUUUUAGGAGUGAAACUAUCAAUAUUUGCUGGACAAGUGGUCAUAGAAUAAAAUUAUGAACAUUU
rnacentral:lncRNA from 1 species